CGUAGGCAGCGAGCGUUGUUCGGAGUUACUGGGCGUAAAGAGUGCGUAGGCGGUUUUCUAAGUUGGUGUGAAAUCUCCCGGCUUAACUGGGAGGGUGCGCCGAAGACUGGAAGGCUUGAGUAUGGGAGAGGUAAGCGGAAUUCCUGGUGUAGCGGUGAAAUGCGUAGAUAUCAGGAGGAACACCUGCGGUGUAGACGGCUUACUGGACCAUAACUGACGCUGAGGCACGAAAGCGUGGGUAGCAAACAGGAUU
rnacentral:rRNA from 1 species